rnacentral:lncRNA from 1 species
GGAUGAUAAAGCCAGAAUGUUGGGUUCAUUGUUAGAUUUUUGCCAAUACCUGCCCUGUCACCCAUCUUCUCUCUUUUCUUGACAUCCUACUUCAACUGCACAUCAGCCGCCAGUGCCAAUCCUAAUCCAAGGCAGGAAGGAUCUGAGGCGUUCACUCCCUACCCUCUCUCUCAGUGGCAGCUUCUUUUGACCACAUCCUGAGGCAAAUCUAAUACUCAAGACUUCUCACCUGUGGCUAAGGACCUGGUGAUCUGCCCUUGGACUUUAGAUCCUCAAGCCUCGUUUCUCUUUCCAGAAGAUUCACUCUCAACCACCUCCAACCUCAGUACCUCAUGCUAACACAUCAGGACUGGGGUACACUAUGUGGCUAACAGUAUUCUCAAUACUCCCUGGGAACUGUCUAGACUUUCAGUUAUAAUCAUGUGUGUUCCUGGACCCCCCCCCCCCGCCAUCUUGGUGACCUGACUUUGACUACAUACUGGAGUAUAAGUCACAGUUAUUCUUCCAGCUACAGGGCAUUGCUUGUCCAUUUAGCUUGUUCUCUGAUCCUGAAGUAUUGGGCAUCUUCUAAUUUCUCUGUCUCUCUGUCUGUCUCUGUCUCUGUCUCUGUCUCUGUCUCUGUCUCUGUCUCUGUCUCUCUCUCUCUCUCUCUCUCUCUCUCUCUCCAUACUCUUCCCUACCCUACCCUACUCCAUUUAGUAGGGCUACUUUCCAGUCUUUCCUUACUCUAUCCAGGUUUUUUGUCUUUUAUCAGAUAAAUUACAGCAUUGUAAUUUGAUUCUCUUAGACAUAUAUUCCUUCUCUCUGAACCUCUGACUUUAUUUAGUCUUUGGUUCUCACUCCCCAAAGCCACCCUUCUUUUCUACAUCAAGCAUUCAUCAACCUACUUAACUACACUUGGUGGGAUCCCAUCUCUCUUUAGUGAAAAUAAUACAUCCCUUGUACUCAGAUUGCUAAUGUUUGCCAUUUAACACCUCCCCUCUUCAGCUCUUGACAAGAGGGAUUGAUAAGUGACAUCACAAUUGAGUGAUUGCCCCCCACCCCCAGAAAAGAAUGGGACUUAGUGGAGACAGGGUACAGGGCAGAAUGAACCAGUGUUACAGUACCAGAGAAAAUCUGGUCUCAGCUCUUCCUCCACCCUUCUCUGAGACCGUGGAGGGCAGUUUGUUGGGCGUGGUGACACCGAAUCCAUCUGUGAGGACUACUAGUUAAGCAAACGACCCAUUUUCCUAACACCAUUAAACUGAACAAUGAUGGAAAUGGGAGAGAAUGGGCCCACCCUAAAGCCCUAAGGUGGCUGGGUGAUCAGUAAGUCUGGGCAAAUUUGGAGCUGAUCCUGUGAAGGAAACCACCUCACCCCCUGCACUUCAUGGAAUGUGUUCUGGUUGAGCUUCUUGGCUCUCCAUCUACUUUUCAUAAUGACCAGAGCUUGUCUGAGCAGAGCUCACUGCAUGUGCUAGGGUGCUUUAUAGGCACAGCUCCGGUUCAUUUUUACAACGGUCGGUUCACAAACCCUGGGCCAAUCCCAUUUCCAAUUUACUGUGGAGGCUAGAGAAGUAGAAAGACUUGCCCAGGAGCAGACAACCAAUGAGUGCCUCCUAAACCCACAUCUGUGCAGCUAAAGAGGAACUCUGGACGGAAUGGAGAGAAGGCAUCAGGCUCAAGGAGACAGGUCAUAUACAUUCUGUAAUAGCCCUUUGUUUCCUAAUCUAACACUGUCCAAUACUGGCAACUCUGCCUUUGUUAUAGACUUGAAGCUAGGAUGCAACAACAAGCAUGGUGCUUCUGCAAAGAGACAGCUAAAACAAAACUUAAUAAAUAAAAGAGAAGCAUAGCCCAGU